AAAUUGAAGAGUUUGAUCAUGGCUCAGAUUGAACGCUGGCGGCAGGCCUAACACAUGCAAGUCGAACGGUAGCACAGAGAGCUUGCUCUCGGGUGACGAGUGGCGGACGGGUGAGUAAUGUCUGGGAAACUGCCCGAUGGAGGGGGAUAACUACUGGAAACGGUAGCUAAUACCGCAUAACGUCGCAAGACCAAAGUGGGGGACCUUCGGGCCUCACACCAUCGGAUGUGCCCAGAUGGGAUUAGCUAGUAGGUGGGGUAACGGCUCACCUAGGCGACGAUCCCUAGCUGGUCUGAGAGGAUGACCAGCCACACUGGAACUGAGACACGGUCCAGACUCCUACGGGAGGCAGCAGUGGGGAAUAUUGCACAAUGGGCGCAAGCCUGAUGCAGCCAUGCCGCGUGUAUGAAGAAGGCCUUCGGGUUGUAAAGUACUUUCAGCGAGAAGGAAGGCGUUGUGGUUAAUAACCACAGCGAUUGACGUUACUCGCAGAAGAAGCACCGGCUAACUCCGUGCCAGCAGCCGCGGUAAUACGGAGGGUGCAAGCGUUAAUCGGAAUUACUGGGCGUAAAGCGCACGCAGGCGGUUUGUUAAGUCAGAUGUGAAAUCCCCGGGCUCAACCUGGGAACUGCAUUUGAAACUGGCAAGCUUGAGUCUCGUAGAGGGGGGUAGAAUUCCAGGUGUAGCGGUGAAAUGCGUAGAGAUCUGGAGGAAUACCGGUGGCGAAGGCGGCCCCCUGGACAAAGACUGACGCUCAGGUGCGAAAGCGUGGGGAGCAAACAGGAUUAGAUACCCUGGUAGUCCACGCCGUAAACGAUGUCUACUUGGAGGUUGUGCCCUUGAGGCGUGGCUUCCGGAGCUAACGCGUUAAGUAGACCGCCUGGGGAGUACGGCCGCAAGGUUAAAACUCAAAUGAAUUGACGGGGGCCCGCACAAGCGGUGGAGCAUGUGGUUUAAUUCGAUGCAACGCGAAGAACCUUACCUGGUCUUGACAUCCACGGAAGUUUUCAGAGAUGAGAAUGUGCCUUCGGGAAC
rnacentral:rRNA from 1 species